CAGCAGCCGCGGGAAAACGAAGGGGGCUAGCGUUGUUCGGAAUUACUGGGCGUAAAGCGCACGUAGGCGGACAUUUAAGUCAGGGGUGAAAUCCCGGGGCUCAACCCCGGAACUGCCUUUGAUACUGGGUGUCUAGAGUAUGGAAGAGGUGAGUGGAAUUCCGAGUGUAGAGGUGAAAUUCGUAGAUAUUCGGAGGAACACCAGUGGCGAAGGCGGCUCACUGGUCCAUUACUGACGCUGAGGUGCGAAAGCGUGGGGAGCAAACAGGAUUAGAUACCCCUGUAGUCCCUGUCUUUAUACA
rnacentral:rRNA from 1 species